rnacentral:rRNA from 1 species
UGGCGAACGGGUGAGUAACACGUGGGCAACCUGCCCAAAAGAGGGGGAUAACACUUGGAAACAGGUGCUAAUACCGCAUAACCAUAGUUACCGCAUGGUAACUAUGUAAAGGGUGGCUAUACUACCGCUUUUGGAUGGGCCCGCGGCGCAUUAGCUAGUUGGUAGGGUAAAGGCUUACCAAGGCAAUGAUGCGUAGCCGAAUUGAGAGGUUGAUCGGCCACAUUGGGACUGAGACACGGCCCAAACUCCUACGGAAGGCAGCAG